UACGUAGGUGGCAAGCGUUGUCCGGAUUUACUGGGCGUAAAGGAUGCGUAGGUGGAUAUUUAAGUGGGAUGUGAAAUACCCGGGCUCAACUUGGGUGCUGCAUUCCAAACUGGAUAUCUAGAGUGCAGGAGAGGUAAGUGGAAUUCCUAGUGUAGCGGUGAAAUGCGUAGAUAUUGGGAGGAACACCAGUGGCGAAGGCGACUACCUGGCCUGUUCUUGACGCUGAGGCGCGAAAGCUAGGGGAGCAAACGGG
rnacentral:rRNA from 1 species